UACGUAGGGUGCAAGCGUUAAUCGGAAUUACUGGGCGUAAGCGUGCGCAGGCGGUUAUGUAAGACAGAUGUGAAAUGCCCGGGCUUAACCUGGGAACUGCAUUUGUGACUGCAUGGCUAGAGUUUGGCAGAGGGGGGUAGAAUUCCACGUGUAGCAGUGAAAUGCGUAGAUAUGUGGAGGAACACCGAUGGCGAAGGCAGCCCCCUGGGUCAAGACUGACGCUCAUGCACGAAAGCGUGGGGAGCAAACAGG
rnacentral:rRNA from 1 species